ACCGCUGCCAGGUGACCAAGGCUCGACCCAGGGCCCAGAGAGAAGACCGGUCCCUCCUCGGGACCCAAGAAGCUCUUUAACAGCACUGUCACUUCGCCCGCCCUCUCCAAGCUGGAACACGGGCCUGCGCCGCGCCCCGCCCCGCGCAGGUGGCGUUCGAGAGCAGUGCAGUGUCCCGGGCACGUGAGGCCGUCAGGUUCCAGGUGCGUCUCACUUCAGUUUCUCAGGGACUGACUGCUUAGAUUUUUGUCUUGGGUUGCCCUUCCCAGAGCCUCUGCCGGCAGUUGUUGCCUGUGACUUGGCACAAAGAUGACAGAACUGGGGCACGAGGAAUUAUCGGCAAGGAAAACCCAGCGACGGCUGAGCCUGGAAUCCAAACGAGGGUCCUGCACCAAACUCACCCUCUCAACGGGCCGCCCUGGUGCUGCUGCCUUUCCGGAGAAGGGGCCCUGGUGCCGGUGCUCCGACGGACGUGCAGGCGUCCUCACUCCUCCAUGGGAAAGCGAGAAAAAUGAGGUCAAAGAAGUGAAUUUUCCAUAAAGCUAAAUAGA